GACGUAGGAGGCGAGCGUUUGUCCGGAUUCAUUGGGCGUAAAGAGCACGCAGGCGGUUUGGCAAGUCGGAUGUGAAAACCCGGAGCUCAACUCCGGACCUGCAUCCGAAACUGCCCGACUAGAGGUAGGUAGGGGAGAUCGGAAUUCCUGGUGUAGCGGUGAAAUGCGCAGAUAUCAGGAGGAACACCGGUGGCGAAGGCGGGUCUCUGGGCCGAUACUGACGCUGAGGAGCGAAAGCGUGGGGAGCAAACAGG
rnacentral:rRNA from 1 species